CUGUGGCUCAGUCAAUUGAGCUUCCAUUUCUAUUCCCUGAAAGAGAAAUGCACAUUUAUUUAAUUGGCUGGUUGUUUGUACAAUCAUUGCAUGUGCGGACGUCUACCUGGGAUCAUGUUGACAUGGGUCCUGGCUGCCAAGCCACGCAGCUGGCCUGCUUGUCCCUGCUGAGAAGUUGUAGCAGAGCAGUGGAGCACUGGAGUGGCAGCCCAGAUGGGUUGGAAUCCAGGUGGUACCUGUCAGCCACUGCAAACUUCCAUGGUGAAAUGUUAAUAAGCAGAGCUGCUGUGUGUCAGUGUGCAAAAUCACAGCCCAUCAGCUCUUAAACUGCUCAAGUUCCCAUUUUGCUCUACCACAAUGGGGUCUGCUGCAACACUGGAGGGCAUAGCCCCACCAUUAAGAGCUGCAACUAGCCAGCAGAAAUAGAAAAACUCUGAAGCUAGCAGAAGCAGAGAUUCAGGUUUCAUUUUAAAACUUUGGUUUCAAUGUUGAAAUUUCUCAUGGUCUUACCCAUGGGAACAAGGGAAACUUGUUAAAUAAUUAUAAAUAAUUAUGCAGAUGAUGAUGCUUAUGCCUGCUGUACUGCAAGUACUAAAGUACUUUGUCUUAAGUUUUCCGCCAGCAUUCAAACAAUUAUAGGAUAUCUUGUUAGCUUCUAAGUAGAGCAAAAUCAAAUCCCUGACAUAAUAUUCUAUAUGAGAUUUAAAGUUUCUAGUAUAGCCAAAAUAAUUUUGAAAAGAAAAAAAAAAACAUUGGAGCACUUAAAAUUUCCUAGUUAGAAAGCUACAAUAUUUAAGUCAGUGUAGUAUUGACAUAAGAACAAAAAGUCUAAAAACAGAUAUUAGUGGAACAGGAGAGUCCAAAAAUAGACUCAUACAUAUAAGAUGAACUGAUUUUCAAUGAAGUUACCAAGAUAAUUCAAUGGGGAAGGGACAGUAUUUUUAGUAAAUGGUACUUUAAAAUAUGAUGUCCUUAUGCAAAAUAAUUCAUCUGGAUCCAUACCUUGCCCCUUAUAAAUAAUUCAAGAUAGAUCUAACACCUAAAUUUAAGAGCUAAAGUAUUAAACUUCUAAAAGAAAACACAAGACAAAUUUUUGUGACCUUGAGUUAGAGCUUUUUGGGUAUGAUACAAAAAGCACAGAUCAAAAAUUAAAAUGUUGAAAACACGGACUUCAUAAUUAGAAUCACUUGUUCUUUAGAAGAUACUGUUAAUAAAUGAAAAGUAUGUGGACUGUAAGAAAUCAUUUGAACAAUGCAUGUUAGGUAAGAAAUUGUACCCCAAAUAUUUGAAGAACACUUGCAAAUUAAAAAAAGAAAAAGAAAUCUACCCCAGAUACUACCCCAGAGCAGCCCAGCUUUCCUGGGCAGGACAGAGCUCUAAGCAACCCCACUUCCAUACUUAGGAAGCAAGGUGGCUGGUGGACUUGUUAAGAGCCAAAUGCUGGAGAGUUAGGAGACCAGAGAGUUUGCCCUUGGUCAAACUGGAGGAGUUAUUCAUGUGAGUAAAGGAAGGGACUGAAGGACCAUCCCAGCAGCUGCCUAAGCUUUAGGGAACUCCCACUUCUCUUCCUGAAGGGUACAGGUUGCUCCAUGUUGGUUCACUUUGAGAAAAAGGAAACUGAAUACAGUAAAGUCAUGACACCCUUGGCCAUCUGCAUGAUCCUUUCCCUAUGUAUGCCUUAUCCCACCAAGUGCCACCAUAGAUCUCUGGACUGCCCUGUUGCUGAUACCCUUUACUGUCCAUGCCCCACCUGAGAACAGGGUCAUUUCCCCCAAAUUCACACUCUUUCAGCAGGAAGCAGCUUGGAGACAUAAUCACCUUUUUUUUUUUCCAUUGAAAUGGAAUGUAGAAAUUGACAGUGGGGAAAAGUAGCAGUGGUCAAUUUUAUGCUUUGAAUUUAGCCCUUGCUGCUCUGCCACUGUGAUUUAUUUUUAAAACAGACAUGUUUAUUUCUCUCUCUCCCUCUCUAAUCUCAAGGUGUGUGUGGGAGGUGGGGCAGGUUACCUUUCUCCCCCAUCCUACACAGAGUUGUCUGUUCUUGAGCACACACCCACCACAGGAACAAAGUAGACUAGGAGAUGGCACCUGAAGAUCUAAAAAAAUGACUCCCAAAUUAACAAGAGAAUUACAAGCCAACAGAGACCAGGAGGAAUGUAGCCUUUGAAUUACCUCUUUAA